rnacentral:rRNA from 1 species
AGAGUUUGAUUAUGGCUCAGGAUGAACGCUGGCGGCGUGCCUAAUACAUGCAAGUCGAACGCUUCACAUCGGUGAAGAGUGGCGAACGGGUGAGUAAUACAUAAGUAACCUGGCAUCUACAGGGGGAUAACUGAUGGAAACGUCAGCUAAGACCGCAUAGGUGUAGAGAUCGCAUGAACUCUAUAUGAAAAGUGCUACGGGACUGGUAGAUGAUGGACUUAUGGCGCAUUAGCUUGUUGGUAGGGUAACGGCCUACCAAGGCGACGAUGCGUAGCCGACCUGAGAGGGUGACCGGCCACACUGGGACUGAGACACGGCCCAGACUCCUACGGGAGGCAGCAGUAGGGAAUUUUCGGCAAUGGGGGAAACCCUGACCGAGCAACGCCGCGUGAAGGAAGAAGUAAUUCGUUAUGUAAACUUCUGUCAUAGAGGAAGAACGGUGGAUAUAGGGAAUGAUAUCCAAGUGACGGUACUCUAUAAGAAAGCCACGGCUAACUACGUGCCAGCAGCCGCGGUAAUACGUAGGUGGCGAGCGUUAUCCGGAAUUAUUGGGCGUAAAGAGGGAGCAGGCGGCACUAAGGGUCUGUGGUGAAAGAUCGAAGCUUAACUUCGGUAAGCCAUGGAAACCGUAGAGUUAGAGUGUGUGAGAGGAUCGUGGAAUUCCCAUGUGUAGCGGUG